GCGCAUCUACCCCACCAUACAUGCCUUUGGUCAAAGUUGCAGAAGCCUGUGGUUGGGCGUGAACCCAGCACUUUGCAGAAGUGUGAAUUCUUAAUUUACCUCCCCCACAGCCACACACACAGGAGUGAAGGCAGCAGAGCCAAGCAGGAACCCGUCCUGCCCCAGGCCUGAGCUUUCUUAAGAGGCUCAUGGGGCAGAAAGGAGGACACCAGUCAUUGCAUGGAAGGUCCACCCUAACCCAGGAUGACCUCAUCUUAACUAAUUACAUUUGCAAAGACCCUAAGGCACAUUCACAGGGUCAUUGUGCAUUUUUGUUGACUAUUGAUUCUCCCCUUCAUUCAACAACUGUACUGAGGCCAGAUCCCAAACUGAGCUCUGACGAGAUGGAGAAGCAAAGGACACGGUUCCUGCCCCCAAGGAGCUCCCAGACAAGCAGGAGAGAAGGUGGCUCCCAGACAAGCAGGAGAGAAGGCAGCUCCCAGACAAGCAGGAGAGAAGGCCGUGGAAAUGAUCCUUCUGAUACCACAGCCUGCCGAUGUCAUCUAGAACUCUGGGGGAUUGGGGGAAAACGAACAGAACCAGAUUAAAAAAAAAACCCUGUCCUUAGCUAGGUGUGGUGGUGGGCACCUGUUAUCCCAGCUACUUGG
rnacentral:lncRNA from 1 species